GUAUCCUGAUUUUCAUUUAUUUCAUAGAAUUUGUUCAAUAUUUCCUUAGCCCUUUUAACCCUUUUGAUCAUCUCUCCAUACCUCCUCGUUCAUUCUCCACCUUCCCUUAGUAUGAUUUUGAAAAUUCAUAUAUACCGAUACUGGAUUGUGAUCUGAUAUCGAUCUAUUCAGUAUCUCUGCUUUUUCUAAACUCAACAUCAACCUUUUUG